rnacentral:lncRNA from 1 species
UAGGAUUUUUUCAAUAAAAAAAAAUCAUCAGGUUUAAAGUAUUAAAAUGCAUUGUUAAAACGAAUAUUUCAUCAAUGAAAUUCCAGUCAGAUAUUCUCAUGAAUAACCUGUUUAUAUUAGGUACAACUUUUAUUAAGUCUGAUUCUCAUUUGUCUUAGGCAAGACGUUUUAACUGAGGCACUACACAGGCGUCAAAAGGCGUCAUUAUGGAGUAAAGGG